rnacentral:rRNA from 1 species
UACGUAGGGUGCGAGCGUUAAUCGGAAUUACUGGGCGUAAAGCGUGCGCAGGCGGUUCGUUGUGUCGGCGGUGAAAGCCCCGGGCUCAACCUGGGAAUGGCCGUUGAAACUGGCGAACUGGAGUGUGGCAGAGGGGGGUGGAAUUCCGCGUGGUAGCAGUGAAAUGCGUAGAGAUGCGGAGGAACACCGAUGGCGAAGGCAGCCCCCUGGGCUGACACUGACGCCUCAGGCACGAAAGCGUGGGGAGCAAACAGG